rnacentral:rRNA from 1 species
AUACGGAGGGGGCUAGCGUUGUUCGGAAUUACUGGGUGUAAAGAGCGCGUAGGCGGGUCAGCAAGUCAGAUGUGAAAUUCCGGAGCUCAACUUCGGAGCUGCACUUGAAACUACUGAUCUUGAGGAUGGACGGAGAAAACGGAAUUCCACAUGUAGCGGUGAAAUGCGUAGAUAUGUGGAAGAACACCGGUGGCGAAGGCGGUUUUCUAGUUUAUUCCUGACGCUGAGGCGCGAGAGCAAGGGUAGCAAACAGGAUUAGAAACCCCAGUAGUCC